UUGAACCCUGCCCUUCCCCACUCCCUGUCCCCUAACCCUGUUCCCUGUGGCUCUUUCUCAACAUGGCGCAGCCUCAGUAUCGGUCUGCAGCAGGCUCUUUCUGCACAUCGCUGUUCGAGCUCCUUCAUAAGCCUUAGUAUUUGCAUUCGCAGUCCCUUCCUUCAUUCGUGUUCUGGUUUAUCACCUGUCUCUCCCUCGUAGAAAGUAAGCUCCAAGAGGGUUCCUGUGUCUGUUUCCCCUGCUAUGUUCUGGCAUGGAGAAUAACAGCUAGUGCAUGGUAAACGCUUAGCAGCUAUUUGUUAAAUGCGCCAAUGAGAAAGAGAAAUAGCAGACAGCACUUGCCCUGUGUCCAGCACCAGAGCUGGGGCUGCCCAGAGCAGCUUUAUGCUUGACACACUUCACCUGGUUCUGCUCCUCCCUCACUGGCAGGGCCUCCUCUCUCCAGCUGCACCUUCUCCUUGGCCUCCCUGCUCCCCAGAACGGAUCACCCUUGGCCUUCACACCCUCCUACUCCUGAUCACCCCUUGGUGGGCAUCAGGUCCCCUGGCUCCGGCUCUCCAUACUGGAACCUCUGGGUCUUACUGGCUCAUAUUGGCAGUCACCGAGCUGCAGAUUCUAUGUCAGAAGCCUCUCGUGUCUUUCUUCCUAAUUCCAAGGUCACCACCUUGGUCCCAGCUCCCAGUGACCCUCACUUAGGAAAAAAUGCCCAACAGAUCUCUAGUGUCUAGCUCUGUCCCCCAACCAGGUCACACCCACACUGCUUUGCAAAGAUAUCUUCUGAUAGCACCUGGCAAACAGC
rnacentral:lncRNA from 10 species